rnacentral:ncRNA from 2 species
AGUUUAUUUGAAUAAUACAUCCGUAUAAUCUCAAUAAUUGGUUUGAGAGUUUCUACCAAGGUACCGUAAAAUCUUGACUAUGGGUGAAUCAGAAUAGAUA